rnacentral:SRP_RNA from 1 species
AGAGGCUGGCGGUGGACGGAAACCUCGCCAACCCGGUCAGGUCCGGAAGGAAGCAGCCGUAACGAGCGUCGCCGGGUCGCCGUUCAGUCUCUCGC